rnacentral:rRNA from 1 species
AGUGAACGCUGGCGGUAGGCCUAACACAUGCAAGUCGAACGGCAGCACAGUAAUAGCUUGCUCUUACGGGUGGCGAGUGGCGGACGGGUGAGGAAUACAUCGGAAUCUACUUUUUCGUGGGGGAUAACGUAGGGAAACUUACGCUAAUACCGCAUACGACCUACGGGUGAAAGCAGGGGAUCUUCGGACCUUGCGCGAUUGAAUGAGCCGAUGUCGGAUUAGCUAGUUGGCGGGGUAAAGGCCCACCAAGGCGACGAUCCGUAGCUGGUCUGAGAGGAUGAUGAGCCACACUGGAAAUGAGACACGGUCCAGACUCCUACGGGAGGCAGCAGUGGGGAAUAUUGGACAAUGGGCGCAAGCCUGAUCCAGCCAUACCGGGUGGGUGAAGAAGGGCUUCGGGUUGUAAAGCCCUUUUGUUGGGAAAGAAAAGCAGCAGGUUAAUACCCCGCUGUUCUGACGGUACCCAAAGAAUAAGCACCGGCUAACUUCGUG